UACGUAGGCAGCAAGCGUUGUUCGGAGUUACUGGGCGUAAAGGGUGUGUAGGCGGUUUUUUAAGUUUGGUGUGAAAUCUCCCGGCUCAACUGGGAGGGUGCGCCGAAUACUGAAAGACUAGAGUGCGGGAGAGGAAAGUGGAAUUCCUGGUGUAGCGGUGAAAUGCGUAGAGAUCGGGAGGAACAUCUGAGGCGAAGGCGGCGACCUGGACAGUGACUGACACUCAACUACGAAAGCGUGGGGAUCAGACAGG
rnacentral:rRNA from 1 species